rnacentral:ncRNA from 1 species
GUUGCCCUGAUGGAUGGAACAUUAUCUUGUAUCAACUUCUUUUGGUUCAUUCAUUCAUUUCAUUUGGUUCAUGGACUUGAUCGAUCGGUCAAUGGUCCGAAGCUACCAUCUGGGGGAUUAUGACUGAACGCCUCUAAGUCAGAAUCCCACCUAGUCAAGGCAGC